AGGAAUAUUGGUCAAUGGGGGCAACCCUGAACCAGCCAAGUCGCGUGAAGGAUGAAGGUCUUAUGGAUUGUAAACUUCUUUUAUACAGGAAUAAAUUGGGGGACGUGUCCCCUUUUGCAUGUACUGUAUGAAUAAGGAUCGGCUAACUCCGUGCCAGCAGCCGCGGUAAUACGGAGGAUCCGAGCGUUAUCCGGAUUUAUUGGGUUUAAAGGGUGCGCAGGCGGGAUGUUAAUUCGGCGGUGAAAUUUUGCAGCUCAACUGUAAAAGUGCCUUCGAUACUGGCCUCCUUGAGUGUGGAUGAAGUAGGCGGAAUUUGUGGUGUAGCGGUGAAAUGCUUAGCUAUCACGAGGAACUCCGAUUGCGCAGGCAGCUUACUAAGCCACAACUGACGCUCAUGCACGAAGGCGUGGGGAUCAAACA
rnacentral:rRNA from 1 species